CUCUUUGUCCUACCUUUUUUGUCUUGGCUUACUGUUAUUUAAUUGCAUCUAUUAUAUGGAAGAUAGAGUCCAAUAUAUCUGUUAUUUUUAAGUGAUGCUGUUGUUUUUACUUGAAAGCAAGCAUAUCAUAGCUUAAAUGAUCUAUCAUUUCCAUCGUUUAUACUAAUUAGAGAUUUAGCCAAGAUUUACUGUUUAACACAUACUCAUAUCUGACACCAGUUAACCUAGGUUUCAUGUGUUUCUGUUUUGUCUUUCCUUCGCAUAUUUUUUGCUCUAAAUGAAUGGUCCGGUCUAUGGUGUCUCUAAAUCUAGUUUCAUCUCUAAUAACAAAUAGAUGAAGUUUUUUUUUUCAAAUUUAUCUUUUCUGCUGAGAAUGGGAGUUUACCUGUGAGGAGGAAAUGCUAGAAGUUUCCUAUAGCAAUUGAUGAAGACAAAUGUUGUAUUUCUUUGUUAAAAUAUUUACUUUAUCUUCUGGAUUUUCUGUGUGGUUGAUAUCGCAAAAUAAUAAAACUAAAUCUAAUUUAACCUUGUGUCAAUUUACUUGCUGGCAACUAGAAUUCAAGGUACUAAUGACGUCGUUCAGUUAAAUAUGAUGAUAUCAGUGUUCGAUUAGUUUGCUAUCUUAACUGGUGUAGAUUAGAGUGAUGGAUGAUAAGAGUUAAUUGAUUGCCUUCCCUGAAUAAGGUAAACGGGAUUUUAUAAAAAAAAUAUAAAUAGAUGACUUUUCUGCGUAAGUCCAUAUUUUGAUGUAGAGUUCCGUUUGAAAUUUGACGGUAGGUGUGAAGGCUUGCCUGAAAAUCAUUAGGUUCCUAGUCUGCAAGGAUAUAGCAAAAUUGAAAAUUGUUAUCUUUCUUUAAGAAUUUGAACCGUGUCAAAAUUUAAAGGAACCAUAUAUGUAGCUGUUAUUUCUCCUCUAAAUUGCUGACUGAAAUUUAAUUUAUAUCGUAAGUUGGUCUCCAGUAAGGCUUCGACAAAAAAUGACUUGGAAGAGAAUGAUAUUGAAUCUGGUAUUGACCGACUACUAAAACAGCUACAAGAAGUAAAUAUGAAAAUGCAAAACUGGGUCUCAUCUGGUGGAUCUGAUAUGGUUUCUCAUACCUUGACUAGAGCGCCAGAGGGUUUCUAUUGAAGAACGCAAGAAAAACUUAUUUCUAUUGAAGAACGCAAGAAAAACUUAAGGAAAUAUGAGCAAGACAAACUCAAAGAACAAUGGGCUGAACAUGUUUGAUGGAACUGAUGGUCAUUACUUCCACACGGGGUCAAGGGGUCACCACUUGGUGUGGGAUUCUUGUCUUUUUAAUUAUGGAAGCCGAGAAGUACUAGGGUAUCUUCUUUCAAAUGCAAGAUGGUGGCUGGAGGAGUAUAAGUUUGAUGGGUACAAAUUUGAUGGUAUGACUUCAAUGAUGUACAAGAUUUCCUUUAGUAAAUGUAUUAUAUCUUUUAUUACCAAGAUUUACUUGAUUAAGAAAAUGCAUUGUAUGUUUUAUUACCUUGCAUAUGUAUUAUUUAUUUUAGUUUUGAUUCUAAAUUUUUAUUUUUA